ACGCCGCGUGAGUGAUGAAGGUUUUCGGAUCGUAAAACUCUGUUGUAAGGGAAGAACAAGUGCGAGAGGGAAUGCUCGUACCUUGACGGUACCUUGCGAGAAAGCCACGGCUAACUACGUGCCAGCAGCCGCGGUAAUACGUAGGUGGCAAGCGUUGUCCGGAAUUAUUGGGCGUAAAGCGCGCGCAGGCGGCCUUUUAAGUCUGAUGUGAAAGCCCCCGGCUCAACCGGGGAGGGUCAUUGGAAACUGGAAGGCUUGAGUACAGAAGAGAAGAGUGGAAUUCCAUGUGUAGCGGUGAAAUGCA
rnacentral:rRNA from 1 species